rnacentral:sRNA from 1 species
CUUGGUCAUUUAGAGGAAGUAAAAGUCGUAACAAGGUUUCCGUAGGUGAACCUGCGGAAGGAUCAUUACCGAGUUCAUGCCCUCACGGGUAGAUCUCCCACCCUCUGUAUACCAUACCUUUGUUGCUUUGGCGGGCCGCCUAGCUACUGGCUUCGGCUGGUAAGUGCCCGCCAGAGGACCCAAAACCCUGAAUAUUAGUGUCGUCUGAGUAAAAUUUUAAUAUUUAAAACUUUCAACAACGGAUCUCUUGGCUCUGGCAUCGAUGAAGAACGCAGCGAAAUGCGAUAAGUAAUGUGAAUUGCAGAAUUCAGUGAAUCAUCGAAUCUUUGAACGCACAUUGCGCCCCUUGGUAUUCCGAGGGGCAUGCCUAUUCGAGCGUCAUUAUCACCCCUCAAGCUUCGGCUUGGUGUUGAGGCCUGCUGUAAAGGCACCCUCUAAAAUCAGUGGCAGUGCUGUCAGGCUCUAAGCGUAGUAAUUUCAUCGCUAUAGGGUCCUGGUGGAUACUCGUCAAAACCCCCCCAUUUUUUAAUGAUUGACCUCGGAUUAGGUAGGGAUACCCGCUGAACUUAAGCAUAUCAAUAAGCGGAGGAAAAGAAACCAACAGGGAUUGCCUCAGUAACGGCGAGUGAAGCGGCAAAAGCUCAAAUUUGAAAUCUGGCUCUUUUAGGGUCCGAGUUGUAAUUUGUAGAAGAUGUUUCGGGUGUGGCUCCGGUUUAAGUUCUUUGGAAUAUUACAUCAUAGAGGGUGAGAAUCCCGUAUGUGACCGGCAGCCUUCGCCUAUGUGAAACUCUUUCGACGAGUCGAGUUGUUUGGGAAU